GAUUUUGCAUAGACUUAAGUUUCAGUUAAACGAGACAGAUUAAUUCCAGCGGUAUAAUGCUGUCUCAUUUUAACAAUGUAUUAAGUCUGAGCAUAGUCAAAGUACGCACUAUAGAUCUCAGCGUAAUGGCUCAUUUCUGGUACACUGAUAACUGCGUUAAGUG